GUUUAUGUAUUUUUUUUUACUUCCGACACCAAUCCUACGUCUGAACGCGCUCUAGCAGCGCGCUGUUGCUAUGGUAACAUCCUCAGACCAACCAGUUUCUGCGCGGAGCGUCCAUUUAACUCACUACAACUAACUUAUCUGAUACAUUUCUGUAUUUAGCAAAAGAACUGCUAACCUUUUGUUUUGACUUGGAAAUGAGCACGGCUAAGAAAUAUUUGCCCUUAAGUUAAAUAGUACUCGAAGUUUACGUGCGUUCUCAUUGGGCGUCUCGGUACAAAUAAAUAGCUGCAGUUCCAUUAAAUGUAAUGAUCUACAACGAUUUAAAAAAAAAGAGUCAUAAUCCAUUCGGUAAAAUAUCAGACGCAUCGUUGUACUUGGAUGAUUCAGAGCUCUGUCACAAAUACACACUCCAAAGAAGGCUCCAGUGGCACAAACCCUUGGAGAACGUGGCUAAAAAUUGAAAAGGAAACAAAUGUGCUCCUUUGCAGUGUUUCCUGAAGGACCGUGUUUGUACCGUGGAGAGCAAAACAAUCCUUAAUCUACGGAUUUCUCGGGCACGCGCGAGUCCUCCAGUAAGUUGCUCUCUUUGUUGUUAUUUAGUUGUAUGUAGAGGGCGGGACUCGAACUGAAAUGAACAAGGCGCGGCCAAGAACCCCCUUCACACGUGUAGACAAAGGGACCCAUCAACACAACCCAAAUAUGCACGGGAAAAGUUUUUCCGUGCGCGCCACUUCACGCCAGGACCUCGCAAAACGCUCAGGCCAGCACGCACGGGACUGUGAGCACUGGGAUACUUCAGUUUUCAGCGGACGCCCUUUGAAGGAUUUAUUUCAUUAUUUUUCUGCUGUUUGAUUUUACUGCCCUUCCGAAAUACUGGACUAUUCAUAAUGUGAGUGAUUACUUGCCACAUCUAGACGCCACGGACAAACUGAAGUCAGACGGGUUCCCGUGAGGACUGACGUGUGGCCGGAUCAAUUCAGCUCUUUCUCAACAUCAUUUCGCAGCGGAUGGUGAUGAUGUCACUCGGCGCCGCAUCUGCCCAUCAGUCUCUCUCUCGGACAGCUCGAGUUCUGUGUGAAUGUGUUUGUGUAGCGCAGCGGUGUUUUUUCAGCAAGUGUGGAGCUGGACAGCGUCAGGGACUCAGGGCUGGAUUUCAUGGCGCGCGCGCGCACUGCAUCCGCGGGAAACAUUCAGAGCCGCAUUGCAGCCAUUUCCUUUAUCAAAUGAAAGUUUGGGAUGAGUAAUCCCAUCAUCUUCCUCUAACUCUUUACCACGAGUCGAGGAUUGAGUGAGCUCAGACUGCGUCGGAAGCAGCCAAGCAUCCCGCCUUACGGCGUCUCUCCGCUAUGAUGUCAUUAGUCUCCAGCAUGAUGUCAUUAGCAGCCAAUCAAACGCGAGCGGGAGUCGUACGAGCCAAUGAAACGCCAGGCGGCCCCGCCCACCGCACGUUUUGUCCAUGUUGGAGGUCGCAGCUCUGAAAUGAAGUAAUGCAGAGAAAAGCAGACAAAAGUACACUGGUGUGACACUGGUGUGUGCUGCAGCCUCAGAGGAGACAGUACACAGCGCCUUUGAGGAUGAAAUGAGAUUUAAAGGAUACCAUUUCAAGGACAGAUUUUUAGGAUGAGAGAACACAAGGCCUGUGCCAUUGUUUUAAUCCACUGAAGACUUGAAAUCAAGUGCUCAGAGUUUCAUUCACUCUUCACAUGCAACAUACAUCAAGCAUUUAGAGGAAAUGCUGAAUUGCAAAGAUAAUUUCACUGUUUUCUUGUGUAAAAAUAGCAGAUGGCGCUGACUGUUCUCUAACCGUUCAGUAAGCAGAUCGAGUCUGAUGUCAGUCCUGUGGCUCGUACAGUCUGCGGUCCAGGCGUAAAAAGCUCACUCUUUUUUUCCUUCUCUCUUCUGCAUAUGAAUGUGCUUUGGAACAGCUCCGCAUUCAGACCAGCAUUACCAAUUGUCCUGACAGCGUACCUUAGUUCCCACAGGCGGCGGAAUGAAGUGGAGCAUCAGGCUCAGUUUGAGUUUUCAGUGUCUGUCAUCGAGAGAUAAGUCAACAUGCUCUGACUGAACAUCGCAGUGUAUCCAGAAUGCAUCAUUCCCUUUGUAUUCACAAUGGUUAAAUGCUCAUAUUUGACUGUGGGUUUGUCUCUUCGAUUAUUUCAUCAGUCAUUAUUGCAUUUUUCAUCAUAUUAUGAAAGUUAAAUAUCAAACCAAACAGUGCAGUCCAGCAAAUGCAUUACACUAAGCAUUGGCAGGUUUACGUAAAAAGACUGAAGUUAAUCAAAUUAAAUUUCCACUGAUCUGUCUGUUUUUGAGAUUAGGCUCAGUCUAGCAGUGCUUCAUCUGGCUUUGCUGCAGUCUGGUGUUAAACAGGAUCAUUAUUGCUGGGUCCUUAUUAAAAAGCACAGAAAUGCUAAAUGCUUUGGUCCGACUAUUAGUUGGAGAAUUAUGUGAAACGUGUGAGUUUCAUGAAAUAAAAAAAAGUGCAUAAAAAAGUAGCAUUAGUGGUUUAAUAUUCUGUCAACAGCUUGCAUCAAAAUCUUUGCACCUUAUUUACCCCUAAAAAGGGCAUAAUAGUACCUCAAGGGUAUAGAUUACCACUCUAAGGCACCACUAACAAUAAUUUACUAUUAACAAUACAUUUUUUGCAUUUUCUUUCUGUAGACGGCAGGUCGGACGACUCUUAAGUUGUGCUGAAAUAUGUAUAAAGACAUACAUCAUCACAUGCAUGAAGUCAUGUGUCAUGUGUCUGUGGAUCGUGUUGAUGGUUCGUGCGAUGAACCGCACCUCUGCUGGGACACGUGGAGAUUCAGGAGGCCAGUUUUUGUCUGUCAUCUCACACACCCAUUUCAGCUCUUGGAUUGUCUACUUAUGGCCUGAAUCAGCUGUGUUUGGUUCAGCGCUGAGAACCACUCGUCUGACAUCUUGGGACUCCAACAGUUGCUGUUUCAGAAAGAUUCAGUUCAAAGCUUCGUGAAAUACUGCAUUGCUUCUAUUUCCAGUGCUGUAAUGCAAAUGAGCACAAACCCUUAAGCCGCACCGCUGUCAUGAUGAAAGCACAGAUGGUAUUACACAGCUAUUUUUGCACUUACACACACACAAAAAAGUCUAAACUACGGAAGUAGUCAGUGUGUAAGUUGUGGUUUGUCCUC